CAGGCUUAACACAUGCAAGUCGAGGGGCAGCAUGGUCUUAGCUUGCUAAGGCCGAUGGCGACCGGCGCACGGGUGAGUAACACGUAUCCAACCUGCCGUCUACUCUUGGACAGCCUUCUGAAAGGAAGAUUAAUACAAGAUGGCAUCAUGAGUCCGCAUGUUCACAUGAUUAAAGGUAUUCCGGUAGACGAUGGGGAUGCGUUCCAUUAGAUAGUAGGCGGGGUAACGGCCCACCUAGUCUUCGAUGGAUAGGGGUUCUGAGAGGAAGGUCCCCCACAUUGGAACUGAGACACGGUCCAAACUCCUACGGGAGGCAGCAGUGAGGAAUAUUGGUCAAUGGGCGAGAGCCUGAACCAGCCAAGUAGCGUGAAGGAUGACUGCCCUAUGGGUUGUAAACUUCUUUUAUAAAGGAAUAAAGUCGGGUAUGGAUACCCGUUUGCAUGUACUUUAUGAAUAAGGAUCGGCUAACUCCGUGUCAGCAGCCGCGGUAAUACGGAGGAUCCGAGCGUUAUCCGGAUUUAUUGGGUUUAAAGGGAGCGUAGAUGGAUGUUUAAGUCAGUUGUGAAAGUUUGCGGCUCAACCGUAAAAUUGCAGUUGAUACUGGAUAUCUUGAGUGCAGUUGAGGCAGGCGGAAUUCGUGGUGUAGCGGUGAAAUGCUUAGAUAUCACGAAGAACUCCGAUUGCGAAGGCAGCCUGCUAAGCUGCAACUGACAUUGAGGCUCGAAAGUGUGGGUAUCAAACAGGAUUAGAUACCCUGGUAGUCCACACGGUAAACGAUGAAUACUCGCUGUUUGCGAUAUACUGCAAGCGGCCAAGCGAAAGCGUUAAGUAUUCCACCUGGGGAGUACGCCGGCAACGGUGAAACUCAAAGGAAUUGACGGGGGCCCGCACAAGCGGAGGAACAUGUGGUUUAAUUCGAUGAUACGCGAGGAACCUUACCCGGGCUUAAAUUGCAGAUGAAUUACGGUGAAAGCCGUAAGCCGCAAGGCAUCUGUGAAGGUGCUGCAUGGUUGUCGUCAGCUCGUGCCGUGAGGUGUCGGCUUAAGUGCCAUAACGAGCGCAACCCUUGUUGUCAGUUACUAACAGGUUCCGCUGAGGACUCUGACAAGACUGCCAUCGUAAGAUGUGAGGAAGGUGGGGAUGACGUCAAAUCAGCACGGCCCUUACGUCCGGGGCUACACACGUGUUACAAUGGGGGGUACAGAGGGCCGCUACCACGCGAGUGGAUGCCAAUCCCCAAAACCUCUCUCAGUUCGGACUGGAGUCUGCAACCCGACUCCACGAAGCUGGAUUCGCUAGUAAUCGCGCAUCAGCCACGGCGCGGUGAAUACGUUCCCGGGCCUUGUACACACCGCCCGUCAAGCCAUGGGGGCCGGGGGUACCUGAAGUGCGUAACCGCGAGGAGCGCCCUAGGGUAAAACUGGUGACUGGGGCUAAGUAGUAAC
rnacentral:rRNA from 1 species